rnacentral:rRNA from 1 species
AUACGGAGGGUGCAAGCGUUAUUCGGAAUCACUGGGCGUAAAGGACGCGUAGGCGAGUUGGCAAGUCAGAUGUGAAAUCCACAGCUUAACUGUAGAACUGCAUUUGAAACUGCUAACCUAGAGUAUGGGAGGGGGAGAUGGAAUUAGUGGUGUAGGGGUAAAAUCCGUAGAUAUCACUAGGAAUACCGAAAGCGAAGGCGAUCUCCUGGAACAUAACUGACGCUAAGGCGUGAAAGCGUGGGGAGCAAACAGGAUUAGAUACCCUAGUAGUCC